CUCAGCUUCGUGAGACGACAACAAAGUCGAGCGUUCGACCGACUUUAACAAUUAUUGGUUCAGUCUUGCUUCGGAUUUCGAAGAGUACACAUCGUAGUUCUCGUAGUACGCAUUCUCCACGAGUAAUAACAAAGGAAUUAAAUUGUGGAGUGGGGGUACUGAGCUUCGUGAGACGACAACAAAGUCGAGCGUUCGACCGACUUUAACAAUUAUUGGUUCAGUCUUGCUUCGGAUUUCGAAGAGUACACAUCGUAGUUCUCGUAGUACGCAUUCUCCACGAGUAAUAACAAAGGAAUUAAAUUGUGGAGUGGGGGUACUGAGCUUCGUGAGACGACAACAAAGUCGAGCGUUCGACCGACUUUAACAAUUAUUGGUUCAGUCUUGCUUCGGAUUUCGAAGAGUACACAUCGUAGUUCUCGUAGUACGCAUUCUCCACAAGUAAUAACAAAGAGUUAGUAAUUAAAUUGUGGAGUGGGGAUACUGAGCUUCGUGAGACGACAACAAAGUCGAGCGUUCGACCGACUUUAACAAUUAUUGGUUCAGUCUUGCUUCGGAUUUCGAAGAGUACACAUCGUAGUUCUCGUAGUACGCAUUCUCCACAAGUAAUAACAAAGAGUUAGUAAUUAAAUUGUGGAGUGGGGGUACUGAGCUUCGUGAGACGACAACAAAGUCGAGCGUUCGACCGACUUUAACAAUUAUUGGUUCAGUCUUGCUUCGGAUUUCGAAGAGUACACAUCGUAGUUCUCGUAGUACGCAUUCUCCACAAGUAAUAACAAAGAGUUAGUAAUUAAAUUGUGGAGUGGGGGUACUGAGCUUCGUGAGACGACAACAAAGUCGAGCGUUCGACCGACUUUAACAAUUAUUGGUUCAGUCUUGCUUCGGAUUUCGAAGAGUACACAUCGUAGUUCUCGUAGUACGCAUUCUCCACAAGUAAUAACAAAGAGUUAGUAAUUAAAUUGUGGAGUGGGGGUACUGAGCUUCGUGAGACGACAACAAAGUCGAGCGUUCGACCGACUUUAACAAUUAUUGGUUCAGUCUUGCUUCGGAUUUCGAAGAGUACACAUCGUAGUUCUCGUAGUACGCAUUCUCCACAAGUAAUAACAAAGAGUUAGUAAUUAAAUUGUGGAGUGGGGGUACUGAGCUUCGUGAGACGACAACAAAGUCGAGCGUUCGACCGACUUUAACAAUUAUUGGUUCAGUCUUGCUUCGGAUUUCGAAGAGUACACAUCGUAGUUCUCGUAGUACGCAUUCUCCACAAGUAAUAACAAAGAGUUAGUAAUUAAAUUGUGGAGUGGGGGUACUGAGCUUCGUGAGACGACAACAAAGUCGAGCGUUCGACCGACUUUAACAAUUAUUGGUUCAGUCUUGCUUCGGAUUUCGAAGAGUACACAUCGUAGUUCUCGUAGUACGCAUUCUCCACAAGUAAUAACAAAGAGUUAGUAAUUAAAUUGUGGAGUGGGGAUACUGAGCUUCGUGAGACGACAACAAAGUCGAGCGUUCGACCGACUUUAACAAUUAUUGGUUCAGUCUUGCUUCGGAUUUCGAAGAGUACACAUCGUAGUUCUCGUAGUACGCAUUCUCCACAAGUAAUAACAAAGAGUUAGUAAUUAAAUUGUGGAGUGGGGGUACUGAGCUUCGUGAGACGACAACAAAGUCGAGCGUUCGACCGACUUUAACAAUUAUUGGUUCAGUCUUGCUUCGGAUUUCGAAGAGUACACAUCGUAGUUCUCGUAGUACGCAUUCUCCACAAGUAAUAACAAAGAGUUAGUAAUUAAAUUGUGGAGUGGGGGUACUGAGCUUCGUGAGACGACAACAAAGUCGAGCGUUCGACCGACUUUAACAAUUAUUGGUUCAGUCUUGCUUCGGAUUUCAAAGAGUACACAUCGUAGUUCUCGUAGUACGCAUUCUCCACGAGUAAUAACAAAGAGUUAAUAUUCAAAUUGCGAAGUGGGGAUACUCCGUUGCGAGAAAUAACAACAAAGAGGGUCCUUCGACCGACUCUUACAGUUACUAGUUCAGUUGUACUUUGGACUUCGACGAGGAAACUUAGAAAAAUUUCUUGUAUACCAUUCCUGCAAGUAUUAACGAACAGUUAAUAAAAUUUACGUUUUAAUUUCUCAUUCUUACAAUAUUCUAUACAGUUUAUUUGAUUUUAGAUUGAAUUGCGAAGUGGGGAUACUUGCCUGCGAGAGAAGAAAACAAAGACGGUCCUUCGACCGACAUUUAUAGUUCCUAGUUCAUUUGUGCGUUGGACUCCAACCAGUGAACUUCGAAAUUUUAGCGGAUGCCAUUCGUCCAAGUAUUAACGAACAGUUAAUUCAAAUAUAUAACAGCUUAUUUGAUUUUAGACUUAAAUGCGAAGUGGGGAUACUCGGUUUCGAGGGACGACAACAAUGUUGGGUCUUUGGCCGACAUUUAUAGUUCCUAGUUCAGUUGUGCUUUGGACUUCGACAAGGGAACUUAGAAAAAUUUCGUGUAUACCAUUCCUGCAAGUAUUAACGAACAGUUAAUAAAAUUUACAUUUUAAUUUCUCAUUCUUACAAUAUUCUAUGCAGUUUAUUUGAUUUUAGAUUAAAUUGCGAAGUGGGGUUAAUUGCCUGCGAGAGAGGAAAACAAAGACGGUCCUUCGACCGACUCUUACAGUUACUAGUUCAGUUGUGCUUUGGACUUCGUCGAGUGAACUUGGAAAUUUUCUCACUUUCGAGGGACUUUGAAAAUCUAUCUCCACGAGUGGACUUAGAAAUUUUUACACUCACGGAGGACUUUGAAAAUCUGUCUCCACGAGUGGACUUAGAAAUUUUCGCACCUUUGGUGGACUUUAAAAAUCUAUCUCCACGAGUGGACUUAGAAAUUUUUCCACUUUCGAGGGACUUUGAAAAUAUAUAUCUUCACGAGUGGACUUAGAAAUUUUCGUGGAUGUCAUUCGAGCGAUUAUUAACGAAGACUUAAAAACCUCAUUGCAAUCGUGCGCGUAGCAACGAAGUAAUCGAGGAUUUGUAUCGCUAAAAUAAAAAUAUCGCAAAGUAGAAGCAGUGUUUGUUCGUUCGCGUUUCGCGAUUUAAAUCAUAAGUGUUAUUGCAUAGACUGCGUGCAAUGCAGUCUUUAGAGUCAGUGUUUGUUCGCGUAGUUUUUUGAUUUUUUAACAGUCGCACAGACUGUACUUGUAAAAUAUUUUAGAGUUGCGUUAAGUAAAUUCAGUGACCGUUCGUUAAUAAAUAACUACCGCGAAUUAGAGUCAGUGCAUCACUGAAGAGGAUCUCGACCAACUUCGAUGUCGACCUACCUCAUGUUCAACCAACUACAUAUCGUCCACCCUCAAUUUCGACCUAAAUCGCGGUCCAGUGUUUUGGAGCCAUCGCAGAACUUCUUAAGUAGUAAGUUAAUUUUUAAAUCCCUCCGAUCACUCAAUCAUGUCGAGGACGAAAGGUCCGAAUCGGCACGGGUGAUUGGUUGUAAUUAAUUAGUAGAAGAGCAAUGAGUGACCACGAGUAAAUUUCUUCGGAGAUUUACUCGUGAAUGGUUCGUAAUUUUUUGAUUUAUUUAUUAGAUCAGGAUUGGGUCUUCUUGUUUAAACGCAUUAAUUACAAUUAUUUGAAAUUUUAAAUAUUUGAAUGAAUUUUUAAGUAAUUUUCUCUCGCGAAAAUAGUAAAGAAUCGCGAUAUUUUCGAAUUUUAAUAAUAAAUAAGCAAGAAGACAUUCGCGAUGGAUAGUCUCUGGAUUACAAGCGAAAUUGUAUAAUUUCUUUUCUAAUAAUUCGAAUAAUUGCUUGUAAGAAAGAGCGUCCAGUGAUUUUUCAUUAAAUUUUUAAUUAAAGAUUAAUUAGUUUUAUUAAUAAAAGAAAAGUCUCAGUAGAGUCAUUGCUUUUGAAGGAAUAAAGUAGAGUCAUUGCUUUUGAAAGAAUAAAAUAGAGUAGAGUCGUUGAUAAAAGACAAAGAGACUUGUAGAAUCAUAAUGCGUAGAACAUAGAAUAACUUAAUCAAUUUUUAGCAUAGGGUUUUCAGCAAUUAAUAUAUUAAUUCCUGUAUCUCUUUCUGUGCUUUCUCGAUUUUUCGUUUCAGGAUUGCUUUAGAGUUGCGUUAGAUUUAUUAGUUUCCUUCCACGUUUUAGAAUAAUUGAUGGUUUUAGUUUCUUGACAUUGACGAUAGUUCAAAUGAUCUAUAGUAGUUGUUAGGGCUCGAAGCAAAGAAGAGGCUAUAUGCCGAAGAGGCCCCCACAAAUUGUGGCUCAAGAGGGCAACUAUUAGACUAUUGAGUUAUUUUCGAAAGUUUUACAGAACUCUUCGAAAAUGGCUCUUAGUCAUAAUUUAGUUUUACCAUGUUGUCACUCAAAAUGCUCUUAUAGAAUAAUAAUAAUGUAAUUUCCAGAAACUGAAACGACGUGACAUUCCGUCUCCCAUCUCACAUUGCCACGCGUACGCGAAUAAAAUUUUUACGUAC